rnacentral:rRNA from 1 species
AGAGUUUGAUCAUGGCUCAGAUUGAACGCUGGCGGAAUGCUUUACACAUGCAAGUCGAACGGCAGCACGGGGGCAACCCUGGUGGCGAGUGGCGAACGGGUGAGUAAUACAUCGGAACGUGCCCAGUCGUGGGGGAUAACUACGCGAAAGCGUAGCUAAUACCGCAUACGAUCCACGGAUGAAAGCGGGGGACCGCAAGGCCUCGCGCGAUUGGAGCGGCCGAUGGCAGAUUAGGUAGUUGGUGGGGUAAAGGCCUACCAAGCCUGCGAUCUGUAGCUGGUCUGAGAGGACGACCAGCCACACUGGGACUGAGACACGGCCCAGACUCCUACGGGAGGCAGCAGUGGGGAAUUUUGGACAAUGGGCGCAAGCCUGAUCCAGCCAUUCCGCGUGCAGGAUGAAGGCCCUCGGGUUGUAAACUGCUUUUGUACGGAACGAAACGGCUCUCUCUAAUACAGGGGGCUAAUGACGGUACCGUAAGAAUAAGCACCGGCUAACUACGUGCCAGCAGCCGCGGUAAUACGUAGGGUGCGAGCGUUAAUCGGAAUUACUGGGCGUAAAGCGUGCGCAGGCGGUGAUGUAAGACAGAUGUGAAAUCCCCGGGCUCAACCUGGGAACUGCAUUUGUGACUGCAUCGCUGGAGUGCGGCAGAGGGGGAUGGAAUUCCGCGUGUAGCAGUGAAAUGCGUAGAUAUGCGGAGGAACACCGAUGGCGAAGGCAAUCCCCUGGGCCUGCACUGACGCUCAUGCACGAAAGCGUGGGGAGCAAACAGGAUUAGAUACCCUGGUAGUCCACGCCCUAAACGAUGUCAACUGGUUGUUGGUCCUUCGCUGGAUCAGUAACGAAGCUAACGCGUGAAGUUGACCGCCUGGGGAGUACGGCCGCAAGGUUGAAACUCAAGGAAUUGACGGGACCCGCACAAGCGGUGGAUGAUGUGUUUAUUCGAUGCACGCGAAAACUUACCCACCUUUGACAUGUACGGAUCCGCAGAGAUGUGGAAGUGCUCGA